AUUGAACGCUGGCGGCAGGCCUAACACAUGCAAGUCGAGCGGAUGAAGGGAGCUUGCUCGUGGUUUCAGAGGCGGAAGGGGGAGUAAUGCCUAGGAAUCUGCCUGGUAGUGGGGUAGAAUGUCUGGAAACGGGUGCUAAUACUGCAUAAGUGCUGAGGGUGAAAGUGGGGGGUCGUCGGAACUCUUGCUCUCAGGUGAGUCUAGGUCGGGUUGGUUAGUUGGUGGGGUGAGGGCCGACCAAGGCGGCGAUCCGUAACUGGUCUGAUAGGAUGGUCAGUCACACUGGAGGUGAGACACGGUCCAGAGUCCUACGGGAGGCAGCAGUGGGGAACAGUGGACAACGGGGGAAAGCCUGAUCCAGCGAUGCCGCGUGUGUGAAGAAGGUCUUCGGAUUGGAAAGCACGUUAUGUUGGGAGGAAGGGCAGUAAGUUAAUACCUUGCUGUUUUGACGGUACCAACAGAAUAAGCACCGGCUAACUUCGUG
rnacentral:rRNA from 1 species